GACUCUGGAGAAGCCCGCCGGCGUGGCGGGGGCCGAAGGUGCAAGGCGUGUGCGGCGGGUGGCGCGGCGCAUGCCGAAUCUCUCAGGCGAAAGGACAGAGU
rnacentral:ncRNA from 1 species